AAUCUUGGUCAAACCAAAAAGGAAAGCUACUUUAAGAUAAGAAGAAAACCGAGGGGUUUCGUCUAUCGAAUAGUUACCAAGGAAAGCAAGAUGCAAUGGAAGGAGGGAAACCCGCUAACUACAAUUUUCUAGUUACCUUAGCCUGGUAAACCCGACACCUAUGAGGAUAUCCGGGGCAUUCUCUUCACUUUUGGGAGAAAUGCACGACUUGAUAGCUCAUCUGCAGCCCUUCUCUUGCUCGGGCGAUA
rnacentral:lncRNA from 1 species